GGCGCGCUGAGGCCUCGGCCUCGCGCGGGGCUGGAGGCGGCCUGUGGGCAGCCACCGCCCUCUCCCGGCUUUCUCAGGGCGCCUGGGACACCGGCUUUCUAACAUUUUUACAGCUCAGCGAUUCUCAAGAGUUUUGUUUCUCCAGUGGAAGUAACAGGCUGACUUUGUAGGGACACGCAGCCGUCCAUAUAUGCGUAUAGCAUUCAGAGGUUCUUCCUGUAAGGACCGAUUUGGAAGACUCGUUAAGAAAACAGUGUUCUUUAAGCAAACAUUGGCAAUGGAUUUAAAUGCUCAGAUUUUGAAGAAAUCAACGACUGCAGGUGAAAUGGCUUUGCUAACUUUAAAAUAUAUUAUUAUUCAACAUUGAAACAGGAAAUCCCACAUGAGCACAUGGAGCCUCAUGGAUGGAGGGAAGAAGAGGAUCAAGACCUGAGAAGGAGAAGAGGAGAAUCCCACAGAAAGAAGAAGGAGCAGCCAGCAGGAGGUAGGGGAACCACAAAGCAGUGGUGUCCAGGAAGCCAAAGGAAAAAGUUGUCUGAAAGGAUAAAUUCUCUGUUCCUUAUUCUACUUCUUUAUUCUUGAUAUCUAUUAAAUGAAAGUUAUCUGAUGUAUCAGUAUCUUGCUAAGUGGGCCUACUAAAUAAUCAAGAAGGAAAUAAAGCUUAUAAGAAUACUGACUUUGUGACCAAUUCAAAAC
rnacentral:lncRNA from 1 species